rnacentral:rRNA from 1 species
UUCCAGACUCCUACGGGAGGCAGCAGUGGGGAAUAUUGCACAAUGGGGGGAACCCUGAUGCAGCGACGCCGCGUGGGUGAAGGAGUACUUCGGUACGUAAAGCCCUAUCAGCAGGAAAGAAAAUGACGGUACCUGACUAAGAAGCCCCGGCUAACUACGUGCCAGCAGCCGCGGUAAUACGUAGGGGGCAAGCGUUAUCCGGAUUUACUGGGUGUAAAGGGAGCGUAGACGGCAGUGCAAGUCCGGAGUGAAAGCCCGGGGCUCAACCCUGGGACUGCUCUGGGAACUGUGCGGCUGGAGUGCGGGAGGGGCAGGCGGAAUUCCUGGUGUAGCGGUGAAAUGCGUAGAUAUCAGGAGGAACACCGGUGGCGAAGGCGGCCUGCUGGACUGCAACUGACGUUGAGGCCCGAAAGCGUGGGGAGCGAACAGGAUUAGAUACCCGAGUAAA